rnacentral:rRNA from 1 species
GCCAGACUCCUACGGGAGGCAGCAGUGGGGAAUAUUGCACAAUGGGGGAAACCCUGAUGCAGCGACGCCGCGUGAGCGAUGAAGUAUUUCGGUAUGUAAAGCUCUAUCAGCAGGGAAGAAAAUGACGGUACCUGACGAAGAAGCCCCGGCUAACUACGUGCCAGCAGCCGCGGUAAUACGUAGGGGGCAAGCGUUAUCCGAAUUUACUGGGUGUAAAGGGGGCGCAGACGGCGAUGCAAGCCAGGAGUGAAAGCCCGGGGCCCAACCCCGGGACUGCUCUUGGAACUGCGUGGCUGGAGUGCAGGAGGGGCAGGCGGAAUUCCUGGUGUAGCGGUGAAAUGCGUAGAUAUCAGGAGGAACACCGGCGGCGAAGGCGGCCUGCUGGACCGUAACUGACGUUGAGGCUCGAAAGCGUGGGGAGCAAACAGGAUUAGAUACCCCAGUAC